CUGAGAUGGAGCUUACAGAGGAUUUGUAUUUCCACCUGGCAAAACACCAUCAGAUUUCCAUUUUGCUCAAAGACAAGCUUGAAGGUCUAGACCCAGAAUUUAAGGGAAGCGGUCACCCCAGAAAAGAUCUUACCUUGUGUAAGUACAGGACAAAGUACAGGAUCUGACAAACAGUGUUCACUUAGUAAUUCUGCUUUUCAGUUCAAGAGUAAGUACACCCAUUAAAAUUAAGAAAAACAAAAAAAAAUAAAGAAUUACAAACAUGAGAGCUGCAAGAACCUUCUGAACUGCCAUCUUGCUAAUUCUGCAAACUUGGAACAUAUUUCAAGAGGUCCAGGAAAAGUCUGAUCAGAGGUGAAUGCAGAGCUUGUAAGAGAAGAUAUUUACAGCUUUCUUCAAGCAAGGAUCUUGAACCCAGCCCAGCCAGGCCACUGGGAACCAACUGCAGUUCUGCUGAAAGAAGCAAG